CCUACGGGUGGCUGCAGUGGGGAAUAUUGGACAAUGGGCGAAAGCCUGAUCCAGCCAUGCCGCGUGUGUGAAGAAGGCCUUCGGGUUGUAAAGCACUUUCAGUGGGGAAGAAAGCCUUGGGGCUAAUACCCUCGAGGAAGGACUUCACCCACAGAAGAAGCACCGGCUAACUCCGUGCCAGCAGCCGCGGUAAUACGGAGGGUGCGAGCGUUAAUCGGAAUUACUGGGCGUAAAGCGCGCGUAGGCGGUCUGAUAAGCCGGUUGUGAAAGCCCCGGGCUCAACCUGGGAACGGCAUCCGGAACUGUCAGGCUAGAGUGCAGGAGAGGAAGGUAGAAUUCCCGGUGUAGCGGUGAAAUGCGUAGAGAUCGGGAGGAAUACCAGUGGCGAAGGCGGCCUUCUGGACUGACACUGACGCUGAGGUGCGAAAGCGUGGGUAGCAAACAGGAUUAGAUACCCCUGUAGUC
rnacentral:rRNA from 1 species